rnacentral:rRNA from 1 species
AUUGAACGCUGGCGGCAGGCCUAACACAUGCCAGUCGAGCGGAUGAAGGGAGCUUGCUCCUGGAUUCAGCGGCGGACGGGUGAGUAAUGCCUAGGAAUCUGCCUGGUAGUGGGGGAUAACGUCCGGAAACGGGCGCUAAUACCGCAUACGUCCUGAGGGAGAAAGUGGGGGAUCUUCGGACCUCACGCUAUCAGAUGAGCCUAGGUCGGAUUAGCUAGUUGGUGGGGUAAAGGCCUACCAAGGCGACGAUCCGUAACUGGUCUGAGAGGAUGAUCAGUCACACUGGAACUGAGACACGGUCCAGACUCCUACGGGAGGCAGCAGUGGGGAAUAUUGGACGAUGGGCGAAAGCCUGAUCCAGCCAUGCCGCGUGUGUGAAGAAGGUCUUCGGAUUGUAAAGCACUUGAAGUUGGGAGGAAGGGCAGUAAGUUAAUACCUUGCUGUUUUGACGUUAACAACAGAAUAAGCACCGGCUAACUUCGUG